UACGCUGUUCAAAUACAGGCGAGACGCGAACGUUACCUAGAUUCUUGAAAAGUUUCGGUGUCACUCGCGUAGUCGGUGAUAUGCGCGUUCGAUGAUCAAAGUUGCUCUACGCCGCGAUACCGCAUUAUUCGCGACGAGCCGCGUUUUCUUGGUUCUACUCGGCAGCCUAGCGGCUUCCACGCUAGCUGGUCACUGGUUUUUCGUAGUAGGAUGAGCAGUGAACGAAGGCCGAAGCAAGACUAAAGCUAUGCACGGUUAGCGGACGGCACGGAUGGUGAUCGAAGAAGGUCCCCGAGACAAGGCAAUAGCCGGACUGCCCAUCGUUCCAGCGGCGCGGCCAGGCGUGUGCGUGUCCGGGGGAUCUCUCGGAGGCUGGUUCAGUGAAUCCUCGACAGCCGUCCUCUCCAUUUUCGGCGCGUAGGACACCCGAGGCGAGAGGUUAGCUCGCCCAGCGUUCCCUUCGACCGCCGGCACCGUCGGUAGGACCUUCGGACCUUCCCAGCGCCGUCGACGCGAGUGAAACGCCGAAAACCGAGGGGUACCGUUGGCGGACCAUGCCACGUAGAUUUUGACAGUCCACGGUCCGACGUGUCGCUCGGCAACAGGAGCCGUUCACGAAUAACUGUCCUCCGCCAAGAAAGUGAUUCAAUGUCCAGGGUGGGCAGGAGGGAUGAUGGCAGGAUGCAGUGUUUGGGGUACAGUCCUGCUUGUCCUCGGCAUAUCAGUGUCUAUUUCGAACGCGAACGCGGUAGGAGAGCGUACCUUGACGAACGAUGAGCGGCGGCGAAUGUUCGAGGCGGAGAGCUUCAUGUAUUCCUGGACCGGGCCGAACGCUCUGGCGAGGUCCGCCCUCCUGGAACGGCAGGAGAGGGUGCAGUACAACUGCGAGGAGAUUCUCGGCGACGCGGACGCGGCGAACGAGAUCGCGGACCCGGAAUCUUUCAGGAAUAUCCUCGUCGACGAGCAGCACGAGCUGCUUUAUUGCUACGUGCCCAAGGUCGCCUGCACGAACUGGAAGCGCGUUCUGAUGAUCGCCACCGGAAAAUGGCCGGGCAACGAUCCCCUGGAAAUUCCAGCCGACCAGGCCCACUCGCAGGGGACUUUCCAAAGGCUGAGCAACUACACGCUGCCCGAGAUCGAACGAAUGUUAACGACUUACGAUAAGUUGAUAGUGGUCAGGCACCCGAUGGAAAGGUUGCUGUCGGCCUACAGGAACAAGCUCGAGGCGAAACACGAGAAGAGCUCGAUGUACUUUCAGUCGCGGUUCGGCAGGAAGAUCAUUAAGAGGUACAGGCAGAACGCCACCGAGCAUUCCCUGAAGAACGGCGACGACGUGACUUUCCCCGAGUUCGUCGAGUUCGUCACCGACGAUUCCUCCAACGAAACUCGAAACGAGCACUGGAAUCCGAUCUACGAGCUGUGUCAGCCGUGCUUAGUUAAUUAUAAUCUCGUUAGCAAGUACGAAAGUUUGGUGGAGGACGCGACGGAGGUUCUGGAACGCAUGGGCGUCGAGUCUGUCAAUUUCCCAGGGAAGCCGGCGAACAGCGAGCCAACCUCGAAGAAGCUGGAAAAAUACUACUCGACGCUGACGUACAAGCAACUCCGGAAGUUGGCCGAUCUGUACAAACUAGACUUAAAGCUGUUCGACUACUCGCUGGAAGAAGUGCUCGGAUUUUCCCUUGCAUGACUCUCCGACUUCCUCGAACUUAUCGAUAAUAAAAUACGCUUCGACUAGCUAAUGGACGCAAUGAUAAUUAAGACAAACACGGUGUACAUACACACGCGGCGCGCGCGCACACACGUAGCCUUAAGUAUCUAUGCGGCAGCGAUAUUUGUUUCGUGGUUACGCAACCGAACGUUACAGAUAAGCGAACGUCCGCGACUCGUACACGAACAUCCCCGUACUUAUAGAUAUCCAUUAUCUAGCUGAGUCAGUAGGAAAUCGUAGGAUGAUGCGAGCCGCGCGAUCCUGCUCGUCAGUCGGCCUUAUAUCGCGUCCCCGCGAUGUCUUCUCGAAACUCGAAACCGAAGCUUCGUGCAGCUUCGAAACUGGGGGUGAUCGAUGUCGCAGUUAUUCUCAGCCUGCAUUUUUCCCGGCCGGUUGUCGCGUUCCAUGGAAUAUUUCGACGAGCCGCGCGAUCCCCGGGGAAGGAGGCCGGAGCGAAUGCACCGAAAGGCGGCGCGUCAUCGAGUGUUUACCAGGUCCGCGGUGACCCUGAACCCGCGGCCGUCUCUUCGACAACGGGGAUCCGCGGAUCGUUCCGAAGCUUUUUCCAUCGAAGCCGUAACCGACGUUCACCGGCGCUUAAUAUAACCCGAGGCGGCGGAACCUGUCGGUUUCGCAUCAGCGAACGGUGGUGGGACCGUGGCCUACCAAUCCUGGAGCAGAGGUUACAAGGGAAGGUGCAACGCGGUGUCUACGAAACGAGCCCGGGUGGGGGCCGAGACACGGGGUUCCUGGAGGAAUCUCGGGAUCAUCGGUGGAUCCUGCGUUGAGUGAUCUAGUCGGAGAUCGGACGCAAAGUGGCGCGGUUUGCUCCCUUCGAGCUGACUUGCUGUGGUAGCUGACUCGAGAGUCUGUCGCCGUACGCUUCCACGACAGCGUCUCCAUUCGAAAUUGACGGGAAACGGAUCGGUUGGAUACACGGAGGGAUAGUCAACCGGCGAAGCAUCCCCGACGUUGUUCCUGCAGUACGGAUCUCGAAGCCUGAAAGAUGCCGCAGCCGGCCCACGAGACGAGGAACAUCCUCACCACGUACUUCAUCCUCAUCCUGCUGCUGAUCAGUCUCUGGUUACUGUACGCGGGAUUGUUUUAACCGCAGCGUACAUUCCUUGCGAUGGAGUGAAGAGGCACGGAAGCAGCACGCGAACGUCCGGACGUCUUCCGCCACUCAGGACACACCUUGCGCCCCCAUGUUUAACUCUGUCCGCGUUGAUUGCACACUUUUAUAUUAAACGCUCUGCGAAAUGAACGAGACUGGUGCACUGCAUUUCGUUCCCUCACGAUCCCGUGGAUCGGACGCGGCUUGGAGAAACCGAUUCUUGCGAGCAACUGGAAACGGUGGUACAAUGGCUUCGAAAUGGCUCAUAGAUCAAGUACUAACUUAAAAUCCUACCGACUAAAAGUUCCGUGUUCGUCUCCGGUAGAAUUCCGACUAGAAAGGUUACCAUUUUUCGAGGAUUCGUAUCUCCAGCACCUUCGAUUCACAGAACAAUUCCAAAACAGUCCGGAACGUCAGUGCUAGAACGGCGAACCGAAUUUCCAGCGAGAUCCUUGGCAGCAACGAGAAGUUGGAUCGAGCGGGCGCAGGAUUAAAGGAGCCGCGGGAUCUUUGAGAGUACACGAGUCACGCGAUCGGAACAUCUGUUGGAACGUUCUCGCGCAGAGGUGACGGGAGCGGCUGUCAAGCUGUCAUAAACAGAGCGAAAAAACGCAUGGAGCUGAUUUGAGGCUCGGCGUCGGGGGAGGAGGGAGGGAAGAGGUAUCCCUGGAGGAUGGGAAGCGUUACAGGGUCGAUCGCGCGCGGAACGCGUGGGCGGUCGUUCGAAAAUAGACGAAGCUUCCAGCUCUUUUGACCGGUGUACCGCCGUAACGUUCCCGCGAGGAUCUAAAUCGAUGUUUUCGACAGCACUCCCUAAAAUAGACGUUAUGAGGAUCGCCUCUGUCCGACCAUUGCCGUACCCAGUCGAAAAACCGGCACGUUCGUGUGCGGUCGUUGCGUAACGCUCCGCGGUGCCCAUCCUGGAUCGUGUUACCGAUUUAUUCGAUUCCAAAACGCUCCGAAUACCUCGCCGCUUAUAAAUAGACCGCGAUAAAGAGCUCUGUUCCUCUGUUUCCCGCGGAACGAUCGCGACGCAGCGGUCUCCGUUGGAAAUCGAGUUACGACCUCCGACAGCGUUGCCAACCAGCGACUUCCGGUCGCGACGGGAACGAGGCGACCGCUCUCCGUAUAGUCAGUACACCUUGUCCCCGGUGAUCCGCGGUUUCUGCUCCGCCGUUUGUCAAAGGCCUCGUUGACAGCAGGCCCGAACAUCAAAGCGGAAACGCGACGCGGUAAAUAUUUUUACGAGCGGCUCGGAUGUAAACGGCUACGCGGCGUUCCAGUAAUCGCUCGAAAUAGAUCUAAUUGCUCCAGAUUCUCGGCGGCCCUCGCCGUGCGCUGACCGCGUUACACAAUAGAUUGGCCGAACUCGCCCGCCGCUGGCCGGGUCGAUCCGAUUAUCGGUGCCGGGGAAAAUCGCGGACGCGUGUCGGGAGUUCGAGAAAAAUGGGAGGGGAAAGUCGGCGGUCGGUGGCGAACGGGUUUCUGUAUUGAUCCGCCAUCGAUUUAAUAAACGUUCCGUUGGCCGUUCCUGUGCUCGCGGCGGCUCGCUCGCGCCUGUUCGUCCUUGGCGGGUCCGAGCUUCCGGCGGGAAUAGGCGGCGCGACAGAACAGGCUGAUGAAAUAGAGGAUCUCCACCAGGCUGAGGAAGCUGCAGCCGAGGAACAGGCUGAAGAUCCCUCCUAUCGAGGCUGGAACGUGGGAAAGACGCUGAAGAUUCGUACACGCGUGUAGCAUUAUGGUUUUUAGAGGGUUCUCUACCUAGAAGAUAGACUUCGUCAGCUGCUGCCAAGGUUUCGGUCGUCGGGAACACUUGCGUCUGCAUGAAGACUCUUAAGAUGCUGUCGUUGUCCGUCAUAUUUUUACUGAAACACGAUUCAAGUCCGUUGGAACCCAAUUUGUCUCGACGUUUUGU